rnacentral:rRNA from 1 species
UCGCCAUUGGAUGGGCCCGCGUCGGAUUAGCUAGUUGGUGGGGUAACGGCCUACCAAGGCGACGAUCCGUAGCUGGUCUGAGAGGAUGAUCAGCCACACUGGGACUGAGACACGGCCCAG